GAAUUGCAGAAUUCCGCGAAUCAUCGAGUCUUUGAACGCAAGUUGCGCCCGAGGCUUGUCCAAGGGCAUUUCCGCUAGAGCGUCACC
rnacentral:rRNA from 3 species